rnacentral:lncRNA from 1 species
UAUCACUCAGUAAGUGAAACUUUUAAGAGUCAGCAUUUUCUUAGACCUCGUCAAACCAACUAUUAUUUUUAUAUGAAUCUCUAAAUAAAAUAGCUUUCCCCACAAGAUAAAGAUAUAAACCAGCUUCUUGGUAUCAAUGAAAUUUUAUGUAUUUAUUUAUAAACAAUUUCAAUGUAUAACUUGAGAAUUCUGCAGUUUCCUCCAAAUAAAAGAACAUGCAUAUUGAAAUGAACCAGUUGUAGAAAUAGAACUUUCCUUCUGAGAUGAACUGGAUGUUGACUGUACAUGAACCCAAUUAUCAUGUUAUUACUCAACUGGAGAACUCUGUGGAAUGACUAUGGAAUAUAUAUGGGAGAAGUGUACAUAUGUAAUAUAUGGUUUUAGAGUUGUAUAUGUGCCAAAGUUCAUUUAUCACCAGACACUGCCUGAAAGGGAUCAGGAGAGAGAGGAUGUUAGUGGGCAUUUCGCAGCGCUGUGUGUGACAGGCACCUGGUGCUGUAGCUGCCGCUAGACAAAACGAUGAAGCUGGAGGAUGUUCAACAGCAGAGCAAGUCUCUAUCUCAGUAAGACAAACAGAAACAAUACCCAAAACAACAUAAUCUGUGGUUGGAGAAAGUGUUUUAAAAAGUGUAUAUUAAGAGUGUUCAUUUUCUCACCCAGUCCUGUCUCAUGUAAAAUAAGAGCCCUAAGACCCCAGUGGACAGAAACCUUAGAUAGGUGUCUCAUUCCUGUCCUGAACGCUCUUUCGUUUUACCAUGUUUGACCUUUGUGUUAGAGGGACGUAGGGCUGACAUGCAGGAUGGUAAAAAUAAAUUGGGAGCAGACUUCCUGUUGAUAAUGAUGUUUUCAUAAAUGUUUGGGAUUAUUUGUGACUUUAAAAUAGCCUUCACCUUGUGUGUAAUAUGGGGGGGGGGCACUCCCUGAAAUUUGAAGUGUUUCAUUGGUGUUGAAUCUGUUUCUAAAUGUUAGUUAUCAUGUGGUGCACAAGUGACACUCCAAAUAGUUCGCAAACCUCCAAUGUCCAUGUUUCUGUACAGACAGGCCCAUGCAGUGGCCUGCCGCUUCAGCACGGAGAUAUUCUAGUACUGAAAACCACAGAAAGAACAUGCUUAUCACAGGGGCACAUCAUUAGCAUGAGCCAAAUCUGAUCAAAUGUGAAAUAUUUGAAAAAUGACUCAUUCUUUGCUAAUGCUCUUUUGUUCUCUUGAAAGAAAAAUAAAAGGUUGUCAUUUGACAAAAAUGUUCUCAGUUAAGACUGAAUCUCACCUGUAAUCUAAAUCUGGACUCAGUAACUGAAAGAAGUUAGAAAUAGUGUUUUGGGUCAUGAACAGUUGUUUAAAAAUUAAACAUGUUUUCAGUGUGUCUGAAAAAAAAAAAAGGAAGUAA